AUCGAACGCUGGCGGCAGGCCUAACACAUGCAAGUCGAGCGAGCGGCGGACGGGUGAGUAAUGUCUGGGAAACUGCCUGCUGGAGGGGGAUAACUACUGGAAACGGUAGCUAAUACCGCAUACUAUCAGAUGUGCCCAGAUGGGAUUAGCUAGUUGGUGGGGUAACGGCUCACCUAGGCGACGAUCCCUCGCUGGUCUGAGAGGCUGACCAGCCACACUGGAACGGAGACACGGUCAAGACUCCUACGGGGGGCAGCAGUGGGGAAUAUUGCACAAGGGGGGCAAGCCUGAUGCGGACAGGCCGGGGGUGUGAAGAAGGCCUUCGGGUUGUAAAGCACUUUCAGCGAGGAGGCGUUACCCGCAGAAGAAGCACCGGCUAACUCCGUGCCAGCAGCCGCGGUAAUAC
rnacentral:rRNA from 1 species